AGCUUUGCGCAGUGGCAGUAUCGUAGCCAAUGAGGUUUAUCCGAGGCGCGAUUAUUGCUAAUAGAAUAACAAGGAAGGGAUCAUCCUCCUUCAACCCAAAGACAAAGGAAAUGGAACACAGGUUGAUGA
rnacentral:sRNA from 1 species